CGGCGGUCGGACAAACUCAAAGUUAUUACGAAAUCGCAAUCGAAACAUAACGGUAGAUAGCAAAAGCAAUAUAUGCUUGUAAAAGUGUGUGUAAGUAUGAGAGAGUAGGCACAAUGAAAUUGAAACACAAAUAGAGCAAAGCCAGCAAAACGCAACACUAAAAUUUAUUGAACGCAUUCAGCAAUCAACAGCUCCCAUUGAUAAUACAAAUGGAAAUAAAUUUAGAAAUAACAACCGGUAAACCGAAGUUUGCCAGCUGAAUGCGUCCAUUUAAGUUUACGAUGCAGUGCAAAGCGCAGCGUCGACUGAGGCAGAAGCAGCGCGCUGCCCAAGCGAAUAUCAAGACAAUGGAGUAAAGCACAAAACAAGCGAAUAAGCGUAACUGGCAAACUGGGCAGCAGCAGUCAGAACAAAACUUGGCCGCAAAAUAGAAAAGAAAAGCCAAAGAACCAAAUGCCAGAGAAAAGAGUAGCAAGCAAAACUACACACAAACUCUCACACACACACACUCGGAUAUUCACAUACACGCAUGCACACAACACCAAGUAAAUGAAGUUCUUUUUUCUGCAGUUGAAACGAAGAGAGCAAGCGAGCGAGCAGCAGCUACAUUAAAUUUCAUUGCUCGUUGUUUCUCUCACUCUCAAUAAAUUCUUUUUU